AGACUUACCUGGCAGGGAGCCGAGGUGAUCAAGAGAGCCGAGGUUUCAGAAAAAGGGUUUCCCAUUGCACUUCGGGUGUGCUGACGGCUGCGAUAUUCCCAAAGGCGGGACACUCGAUUCCAUAAUGUGUGGUAGUUAGGGACUGUGUUCGCAUUCUUCCCUG